rnacentral:lncRNA from 1 species
CGUCUCCCCAGGGCCCCUCCUGGCCGGGCAGCCGGGUGGGGCAGCAGGAUGGGCUGGACCCUGAAGGGCAUGGUGCCUCCAGAAGCUCCAGCUUCAGCCCCAGGACUCCUCCGAGCUGCCACCCGCCCUCCCAGCCCUCCCGACCAGGGUCUGAAGGGAUAGCGAAUUGCUGCAGCCUGGUCUGUGGGUAAUCUGCUCCUUUGUGGAAGUGCUGUGGCUCUUAAAAGCCCCGGUGAAUGCCCUUAAGGGAACGCGAUAACGCUGACGGGGAAAAUCGAGAGCCCCGUUCUCCUCCCAGGUCUGCGUUUGCGCAAGCGCGUGCGGCGCCGGGCAGUGUGGAUGUCCCGGAAGUCUUCCGCUCAGUCCGCCGCUGGACGCAGCUCGGCCCGCGGGCUGGAGGGUCGGUCCCACGGAGCACGCCGAGGCCCAGGGGACAGCGGGCCCGGGGUGCCCUUCCCUGCGGCGCCUGGUUGGGGCAGACCCGGGGGCGCCCGUCCCUCUGCCCACUUAGGUUCUUUCUGCUCUGUGAUAACGCCCUCCCCCGAUGGAUGAGAAAACCAGCUGGAAGCUCAGUGUCUUCUGGCCCAGAUGGAUGUGAGGAGGAUGUGCACUCUACUGUUGCGUGGAAUGUUCCAGACAUGUCCUUGGAGAAAGUCAACUGA